rnacentral:lncRNA from 1 species
AAGCCCUGCCUCAGCUUCUCUCCCAACACUCAGCUUUUCUCCCAAUACAGGAACUUUUGGAGGUCACUUCUGGGGCCUUUGCUGAGCAGGCCACUCCUUGCUUCUCCUGCAGAUGACAAGGUUUCCAGCAUGAUUAUUGCUAUGACUGAUGGAACAAUGAUGAAACAUCCAUCUUUGGACACUCUCAAAGAAAAUCCUACCAUGUGGUUAUUCAUGGAAAUGGCUUUCAGAAUCUAAAGAAACGGGAUGAAGUUAUUUGCAGAUUUAUCUUCAGUGAAAGCACUAUCAUUGGGAGUACUUCAUUGAAGUCAGCUUGAACAACGGCAAAACAUUCAAGAGCAAUGUCAGCAUCACCAGCACCACAUGUGGCAAUCUGGAUAUCUUCCGUGACCUCUCUCACCCAAGCUGCUGCCAGGUGCCAUGGAUGUGG